rnacentral:rRNA from 1 species
GGUUAAAAAGCUCGUAGUUGGAUUUCUGUCUGGGAUGGUCGGUCCGCACUUUGUGCGUGCAUCUGAUGCGUCCUCGGCAUCCUUCUGAAGGACAUUGUACUUUAUUGUAUGAUGGAUUUCAGAACUUUUACUUUGAGGAAAUUAGAGUGUUCACAGCAAGCAAGCGCUUUGAAUACAUUAGCAUGGAAUAAUAAUAUAGGACCUUCAGUACUAUUUUGUUGGUUUCUAGAGCUGAGGUAAUGAUUAAUAGGGACAGUUGGGGGCAUUCGUAUUAACGCGUCAGAGGUGGAAUUCUUGGAUUGCGUUACGACGAACUACUGCGAAAGCAUUUGCCAAGGAUGUUUUCAUUGAUCAAGAACGAAAGUAUGGGGAUCGAAGACGAUUAGAUACCGUCGUAGUCUAUACCAUAAGCUAUGCCGACUAGAGAUUGGAGGUCGUUUUUUUAUGACUCCUUCAGCACCUUAUGAGAAAUCAAAGUCUUUGGGUUCCGGGGGGGGUAUGGUCGCAAGGCUGAAACUUAAAGGAAUUGACGGAAGGGCACCACCAGGAGUGGAGCCUGCGGCUUAAUUUGACUCAACACGGGAAAACUUACCAGGUCCAGACA